UUCCUGGGUCAACAGCGAUGGAAGAUAUUGGGUAUCCACAUGGCUGCGAGAGGCAGGAGAAAGCAGUCGCUCAGAGCCAAUCCUCAUCCAAUGAUGAAUUUCAGCCUUCUAAAUUAGGAACUAAAGAAUAUUGGGAUCAUGCUUAUGAAAGGGAGUUGCAGUCCUUUUAUGACUCAGGCGAUGUUGGUGAGAUUUGGUUUGGUGAAGAAAGCAUGGAUCGUAUAAUAACCUGGUUGGAAAUGCAAAAAAUCUCCAAGGAUGUUGCCCUUCUGGACAUUGGGACAGGAAAUGGUGUUUUUUUGAUUGAACUCGCAAAAUCCGGAUUUACUAACUUGACUGGAAUUGAUAAUUCUUCUACUGCUGUGGAACUUGCUAAAGCUAUCGCUGAAAAGGAAGAGGUGAUGUCUUUGAAAUUACAGGUGGCAGACUUUUUGCAUCCAUUUCCUAAACUUUCUCAGUAUGAUAUUUGCAUAGACAAGGGGACCUUUGAUGCCAUUAGCUUAAGUCCUGACCACCCAGCUGAAAAACGGAGCUUAUAUCAGCAGUCCUUGCAUAGUGUUCUGAAAGAGGGAGGCAUGUUCCUUAUAACAAGCUGUAACUGGACCAAAGAGGAACUAGUCAAUCACUUCAGUGAAGGAUUUGAGAUGCUGCAGGAGUUACCAACACCUAAAUUCCAGUUUGGAGGAAAGAUUGGAAAUAGUGUAACAGCACUGGUUUUCAGACGGAAGUAAUAAGUCAGGAUAACUGCAGAUCACAAGACUCUCCCAGCAUUCAGCUCCAAACUGCUACCCUUCUAGAACCAAAACUACUUGAACAAAAUGCAGCUCGUUCCAUGAGAUUUGAUUUUUGAUUACUUUUGCGUCUUAAUUUCAAAAUCCUGCUAGUCAAUGGACACUUCUUUGUGAAAUUGAUUACUUUCAGCCUGAGACCAAUCACUCAAUGAAGCCUGACGCCAUAACUAUAAUGGUUAUAAAAAUGUACCCUAAAAUGGUCUGUGACUCUUCUAAUGAAGAACUUGUUAUUAUUCCCCUCCUUGCCCCACUGCAGACUGUAACAUCACACAGUAUUCACAAAGUGCACUAAUGGCCUCUGGUGGCAGCAGUCUGGGAAUGCAUGAAUGUGUGGCAUCACAUUAACACGAUCUGUACUUGGGAAGAACUUCAGUGUGAAAACAACAGAUUGCAGUUCAGUCACUUAUUCCAAGAAUGCAGUGAAUUCAUAAUUGCCUUAUUUUGCACCAUGUUCAAAAUCUGCAUAAAAAGAUAUCAGAGAUUGUUUUGAUACCUCAAAAUGUUUUACAUGGCGGAGGACACCAAGCAGGAGGGAGGGAAGGGCUAUGAGGAAGAAAAAUAUACAGUCAAAGAGAAGGCUCUUAAGGAUCAUUUUGAAGCUGAACAUAAAAGAUCCGGUUUUGAAGAGGACCAUUGUUUGAAUCAAGAUUCAUCCAUGAACAAACACAAACACCAAAAUGAAAUGGAUUGAGCAGCCAUUUUAUUUGCUGUUUGCAGGCCUUGUGUGUAAUUUGGUUCUACACUUCAGCAAAAUUCAUUGGCUGUGAAGUACAUUUAAGAAGUCCUCAUAAAAUGCGUUGCAGUUGCAUGUUCUUUAUAUCAAUCUGCGCAGCAUAUUGAUAGUAAAGAGUCACUUACCCCUCCUCUUGCUUUUAAAAUGCUCUCUCUCAGACUCUUAUUGCUUGAAGCUCCAUUGUUUGUAUGGCGUUUACAAUCGCCUGUGCUAUUUUUCUGACAAGAAAGGUUCUAAAAAACCUCACUACAGCUUUCGCUUUGGUUGUAAUGGAAAAUCUGAUUCAAUUAACGUUGUUUCACUUAAAGUGGCACUUUUCAGGAAUGCAACUACAAUGUUAAUUGAGGAAUUACUGUAUUGAAAUGUGUUCUAUUCCUAAAAGUGUUUUGUGUUCCCAGCAAAUUCCGGGUUCAAAUUUGUAACAAAUUUGUGUACAGUACAGCUGACUUUAGUGUACCCAUAUGCUUGUUGGGUGUCUGCAAGGAAUACUGUAACUUGAGGAGCAUUUUAAACACCUUAAAGCACAAUCCAGCAUUCUAGUUCAGCACAAACAGAAUUUUAUAAGUGACAAAUCUUCCUAAUAAGGACUAUUUUGUUGAACCCCAUUAGUUUCUAAUAAUGAAAUUGACGUACAGAUAUUGUUGUUGUUCUACCAGCCAUUAUCCCCUUUUGUAAGCAUCAAAUGCCUCAAGAAUUUGAUCAACAAAAAGAGGCAAUUAGUGCCUUAUGCAUGUGGAAAUUAAAAUUGUAAUUGCUAAAUUGAAUUUAUCUGAAAUUGUAUUUCAUGCUUGCCAUUCCAGAAGUUUACAAAUAAGAACAGGACUGUAGAACCACUGAAGUUGCAUUUUUGUUAAAGUAAAUGUGCCUAAAUCAUGAUAAUUUGAGAAAUGUUUAACAUAUUCCGAAUGUUUUCAGGAACCAGUGUGCACUUUGGAAAUGAGGUAUAUAUAUUUGUCCUAAAUGUUUUUAUACAGAGUUGAGUAAUGUUGUUUGGAGAGGGUUUAUAGACACAUACAGAUGUGGCUGAAUGAUAAGAAUUCAUAAAUGUCCCAGCAAAUGCUUUGGCAAAUGCAGGCCACUAUGAAAUCCCAUUAAGUUAAUAUUCCUUCUGGCACCCACACUCUGUUUACUGAAAAGUACAUCAUGCAUUGCAGAGUGUAGUGAGAGGAUGUACCAAAUUAGCUAUAUGAGUAAUGCACUCUUCAGAGCCUUACUUUGCUCUGAUUGUUUUCUAAAGAGCAGGCGAGUCAGUAACUAGUUUAGUUCGAUGUAUACUGUGUUUCUUUAAUUAGUGCACCUUAACAUUUAACCCAAAUGCCCAGAGAGCUUUUAUUUUCUCUCCCCUUUUGACCAUAGCCUUUCCAGGUUAACUGUGUUCCAGAGAGUGGACAAUGGUUUACUCCUGGACACCUUUUAGCUCUGCUGUAAAUCAGUAACUGUGAUGAUUGUUCCUCUGAUGUUUCCUUGCCUUGUGGGGAAAUUCCUAGCUCCACUUGGCCCUUCCUGCAGUACGAGUACCAAGUCUAGAUCUUCAGCAGUGUGGGUGAUCACAGUUACAAACCAAUGCCUUGUUACUUAUAGAAUUGCACAUUACUGCUUCAAUACAUGGCACCAGAAACUGCCUGAUUGAUUCGUUUAACUUCCUGAGAAGUGUAGGAAUGCAAUGCAAUUGUAUACAUAGUCAUGUUAUAGGCUACCUAUUUUUUCAGAUUGUAAUCACUAAAUAUGACCCUAAGGCCUAAACAAGACACAUCAAUUCCCUUGUAUUCAUUUGAAGACUUUUCUGUGAUACUUUUGUUUUCGUGAUUUGUAACAACCAGGGUGGUAGGGCCAUUUGAGACCUCUGGGAGUGGUCAGUUCUGCCCUUUUGCGAGUCGCCCCAGGCACAGGUAAGGGUCCCAUGCUCAGAGUUAUGAGCCAUGACCCAUGGUGGAACCAUAGAGCCUUUGGUGCUGAUGGCAGAAGAGCUAGUACCUCAAGGGACAGGUGGAGGAUCCUUUGGGAACAGGACUUGUGUUUGCUUUAAGGACAUUUGAGGAAAGCAAGAGGAAACUGCCUUGUGCAUUUAUUCCCUUUGAAAUUGGAAAUGGGAGGCGACUACAAGCAACUGAAGAGGAAAAUGCAAAACCAUGAGGUAUGGAGAAAUGAGCAGAGGACUGUCCUUAGGCACAUCACUAGUACAACAGUGCAUGUAUUUUAAAAUGUAAGCUUUUCAUUAAAAUUAUUUUUAAAAUGUAUUUUAAA